CGUGGCCACCAUCACCACGGGCACCACCAUGGCCACCACCAUGGUCACACACAUGGAUACGGGCACCACAGCAGGCACAGGGGUCGGCAUCACUCAGACGAGGUGGGACAUGCACAAAUGGCUACAGAGCAAGACUGUGUAGCACGGGUACAGAGGUUCCUGGUCGCCAAGCUGGGAGAGGACUGGAUCUUUCUGGUGCUGCUGGGCAUCUCAAUGGCACUGGUCAGCUGGACCAUGGACUACACCAGUGCCAAAAGUCUACAAUUGUAUAAGUGGAUUCACUGGGAGCUGAGGGGUAAUGUCCUGCUCCAGUACCUGGCUUGGGUCAGCUAUCCCAUGGCGCUCAUCAUGUUCGCCUCCUUCUUCUGCCACCUGGUCGCCCCACAAGCCAUCGGCUCUGGUAUUCCUGAGCUGAAGACCAUUCUCAGAGGGGUCGUGUUGAAGGAGUAUCUGACUGUCAGGGCUUUUACUGCCAAGGUCAUUGGUCUGACUGCAGGUCUGGGCAGUGGGAUGCCAGUAGGGAAAGAGGGCCCAUUUGUUCAUAUCGCCAGCAUCUGUGCUGCUGUGCUGAGCAAGUGUAUGACGUUCUUCUCGGGAGUCCAUCAGAGCCCAUACUGCUACACAGACAUCCUUACAGUUGGCUGUGCGGUUGGGGUGGGUUGCUGUUUCGGUACCCCUCUUGGAGGGGUGCUGUUCAGUAUCGAGGUGACGUCCACUUACUUUGCUGUGAGGAACUACUGGAGAGGCUAUUUCGCCGCCACCUUCAGUGCCUUCAUAUUCAGAGUGCUCUCCGUGUUCAACAAAGAUGCAGUCACCAUCACUGCUCUCUUCCGCACCAAGUUCCGCAUGGACUUCCCCUUUGACCUCCAGGAGCUGCCUGCAUUUGCCAUCAUCGGGAUCUCCUGCGGCUUCCUGGGGGCCUUCUUCGUCUGGCUGAACCGCCAGGUGGUGCUGUUCAUGAGGAAACCCAACGCCAUGACACGCUUCCUCACCAGACACCGACUGAUUUUCCCCGGUGUUGUGACCUUAGUGAUAGCCAGCUUGACCUUUCCCCCUGGAUUUGGACAGUUCAUGGCUGGAGAGCUGAUGCCAAGAGAAUGCAUCAACUCCCUGUUUGACAACUUCACCUGGACCAAAAUCUGGGGCUCCCCCCCUCCCCCCAGCCUGGGGCGCUCCUCUGCCUGGCUGCACCCCGACGUCAGCGUCUUUGUCAUCCUCCUCCUCUUCUUCGUCAUGAAGUUUUGGAUGUCUGCUGUUUCGACCACGAUGCCCAUCCCUUCUGGAGCCUUCAUGCCUGUCUUCAUACUCGGUAAACAGAACCUCUUUUGCCUCGUGAGAUUCAUGGCUGCCCUCUUCCCCGAUGGGAUUCUGUUUGAUGGAAUCUUGUAUCGCAUCAUCCCAGGAGGGUACGCAGUCAUUGGAGCGGCGGCACUGACCGGGGCGGUGACCCACACGGUGUCCACGGCGGUUAUCUGCUUUGAGCUGACGGGCCAGAUCUCCCACAUCCUGCCCAUGAUGGUGGCCGUGAUCCUGGCUAACAUGGUGGCCCAGGGCCUGCAGCCCUCGCUCUACGACUCCAUCAUCCAGAUCAAGAAACUGCCUUACCUCCCUGAGCUGGGCUUUGGACACAUCAGCCAGUAUAACAUCUUUGUGGAGGACAUCAUGGUUAGGAAAGUGAAGUUUCUCUCAUUACAGUCCACCUACAGGGAGUUGAUACACCUCCUGGAUUCCACUUCUCUCAAAACGAUACCACUAGUGGAUUCAACAGACUCUAUGAUCCUUUUGGGCUCCAUCGAGCGGUCAGAGCUCCACGCUCUCUGUGAUUGGUGGCUCUCUGCAGAGAGGCGGAUCCUCAGGCAGGAACAGCGUUUGCAGGAACAGAACCAGUAUGCCAAAGACAGCUGGGAAUCCUUUGCCUUUGUGGAUGAAGAUGAUGAGGAGAGUGGAGAUAAGGUGUGUCAGAGAGACCAAGGGGAAAUGUUCAUAAGGAAUCAAAAACACACUCUUAGAAAAUCAAUCAAAUCAAAUACCCCAGUUCAGGAAGAGAGCAAUGGCCCCCUGCCAUCUCCUAAACCACAGGAGCCCUUGUCCAAUCACACAGCUCCUGGUGAGUUGAACCAUCUGCGUGGAACAAUUGUUGCGUUUCUUGACAUUGUGUUUGAUUGGCUGGAGCAGAUCAAAGAAUGGGAGGAGGCUGAGAUGGACAAGCCAAUGGAAAUUGAUCAGAUCCGAAUAGAUCCCUCCCCUUUCCAGCUAGUGGAGAGGACAUCAUUACACAAGACCCACACUCUCUUCUCAUUACUGGGCCUGAGUCAUGCCUAUGUCACCAGUAUCGGAAAACUGGUGGGUGUUGUUGCACUUAAAGAGCUGCAAAAGGCCAUCGAGGGCUCCACCCGUAGCGGGGUCCGGCUACGUCCCCCUCUGGCCAGCUUCAGCAACACCAGCCGAAAGUCAUCCAAACCCCAGGCAACCUCCGCUCCCUCCUCCCCGACCACCCCCUCCUCCCCUCUCUCCCAGGCCCCAAAACGACCUUUACUAAACCCAUCCUCACCUUGGGAGGGAGUUUUAUGA
ensembl:lncRNA